rnacentral:rRNA from 1 species
AAGUGUAUAUUUAAGUUGUUGCGGUUAAAAAGCUCGUAGUUGGAUUUUGGGCGCAGGCGGCCGGUCCGUCGCAAGGCGUGUACUGGCCGUCCUGGCCUCACCUCCGGUUCUCCGCCGGUGCCCUUGACUGAGUGUCGGCGGCGGCCGGAACGUUUACUUUGAAAAAAUUAGAGUGUUCAAAGCAGGCGAUUCGCCUGAAUAAUGGUGCAUGGAAUAAUGGAAUAGGACCUCGGUUCUAUUUUGUUGGUUUUCGGAGCGCGAGGUAAUGAUUAAGAGGGACAGACGGGGGCAUUCGUACUGUGCCGUUAGAGGUGAAAUUCUUGGAUCGGCGCAAGACGAACGACUGCGAAAGCAUUUGCCAAGAAUGUUUUCUUUAAUCAAGAGCGAAAGUCAGAGGUUCGAAGACGAUCAGAUACCGUCCUAGUUCUGACUAUAAACGAUGCCAACUAGCGAUCGGGGGGCGUUAGUUUUACGACCUCUCCGGCAGCUUGCGGGAAACCAAAGUCUUUGGGUUCCGGGGGAAGUAUGGUUGCAAAGCUGAAACUUAAAGGAAUUGACGGAAGGGCACCACCAGGAGUGGAGCCUGCGGCUUAAUUUGACUCAACACGGGAAAUCUCACCCGGCCCGGACACAGUGAGGAUUGACAGAUUGAGAGCUCUUUCUUGAUUCUGUGGGUGGUGGUGCAUGGCCGUUCUUAGUUGGUGGAGCGAUUUGUCUGGUUAAUUCCGAUAACGAACGAGACUCUGGCUUGCUAACUAGUUACGCGACCCAAUCGGUCGGCGUCUAACUUCUUAGAGGGACUAGUGGCGUUUAGCCACACGAGAUUGAGCAAUAACAGGUCUGUGAUGCCCUUAGAUGUUCGGGGCCGCACGCGCGCUACACUGACCGGAUCAGCAUGUGCUCGCCUUGGCCGACAGGUCUGGGUAACCCGCUGAACCCCGGUCGUGCUAGGGAUAGGGAAUUGCAAUUAUUUCCCUUGAACGAGGAAUUCCCAGUAAGCGCGAGUCAUUAGCUCG